CGUUCAAAGUCUGAACUCUGAAGUUCGCUCUCUGUGUCUAUGGUAAGUCUUACCACACAGUGAACUGCAACAAUGGAGGAAGGGAAGCCCUCGACUCCACAGACUAACAAACGAAUCUUCUGGCAUUUCUUUGGAAGAGUUCCUCUUGGUCAUGGAUCCUCCCAUCGACAUGAAAGAGGGUCAUGAGGCUGUCUUGAUCAUGUCCAACAUUACUGGUCUUCAUGGAUUAACCAACUUGGGCAUCUGGCCAAUCUGGUCCGACCCACCAAUGGGUCUACCUUUUCAAAACCUGGAUUGAUGGAAUACAGAACAACAACCCAAUCAGGAUUGGCUUCGAUUCAGCCAGAAUUGGUCUGAAUUGGCCUGAACCCUAGAAACCCUUCUUGGAUUAGCCAAUUCAACCAAUUUGAUUCGGACUUUUAAACCCUGAACUGAACUCUCUAAUCAACUCAGGUCAUUUGUCUAAGUGCAGGGUCAACCGGGGUCCAGCAGAAAACAGCUGAUUUGGCUGGUUCAAUAUCUAUGCAUGACUGAAGCUACACAUCCAUGUGAAUCAAAAGUCAACUUGCAUGGUAUGUAAUCUUAAUUUUAUGUUAUUUGGUAUAAUUAAAAGAUGAAAAUAAUUUCAAAAAAUUUGGGGCCCACAAUGGACACGAGAGUUAAGGAGGGAGCGGGAAGAAAGAACCAAAUCUUCUGAGUUUUGGACCACAUGAUUCCCAAGAUAUGGUGGAGCCUGAACCAGACAAAAAAAAAAGGGGGAUUAUGAUACAUGUGGGAGGCAACAUCAGACCAGGUCAACUCUGUCUGGGUAGUCUGCCAUCUGGACCUGUGAACCAUCCUGAUUCCUUUGUCCGUUCAUAAUAAAAAAUAUAUCAAGUCAAAUUAGAAUGGAAAUUGAUUGAGUGAACCCUAUGCCUCUUCCUAGGAUUCCUUACAAGAGAGAGAGAGAGAGAGAGAGAGAGAGAGAGAGUGUUUAAAACCGUGACAACUAUUAAUAUUGAAAUAGGGGUUUUGUAAA